UUAAACUCAAAGGAAAUUGACGGGGACCCGCACAAGCGGUGGAGCAUGUGGUUUAAUUUGAAGCAACGCGAAGAACCUUACCAAGUCUUGACAUCCCGAUGACCGUCCCGUAACGGGGGCUUCUCUUCGGAGCAUCGGUGACAGGUGGUGCAUGGUUGUCGUCAGCUCGUGUCGUGAGAUGUUGGGUUAAGUCCCGCAACGAGCGCAACCCUUAUCUUUAGUAGCCAGCGGUAUGGCCGGGCACUCUAGAGAGACUGCCAGGGAUAACCUGGAGGAAGGUGGGGAUGACGUCAAAUCAUCAUGCCCCUUAUGAUUUGGGCUACACACGUGCUACAAUGGCGUAAACAAAGGGAAGCGAAACUGUGAAGUCUAGCAAUUC
rnacentral:rRNA from 1 species